GACGAACGCUGGCGGCGUGCUUAACACAUGCCAGUCGAACGGAAAGGCCCUGCUUUUGUGGGGUGCUCGAGUGGCGAACGGGUGAGUAACACGUGAGUAACCUGCCCUUGACUUUGGGACAACUUCAGGAAACUGGGGCUAAUACCGGAUAGGAGCUCCUGCUGCAUGGUGGGGGUUGGAAAGUUUCGGCGGUUGGGGAUGGACUCGCGGCUUAUCAGCUUGUUGGUGGGGUAGUGGCUUACCAAGGCUUUGACGGGUAGCCGGCCUGAGAGGGUGACCGGCCACAUUGGGACUGAGAUACGGCCCAGACUCCUACGGGAGGCAGCAGUGGGGAAUAUUGCACAAUGGGCGGAAGCCUGAUGCAGCAACGCCGCGUGCGGGAUGACGGCCUUCGGGUUGUAAACCGCUUUCGCCUGCGACGAAGCGUGAGUGACGGUAAUGGGUAAAGAAGCACCGGCUAACUACAUG
rnacentral:rRNA from 1 species